rnacentral:rRNA from 1 species
UACGUAGGGGGCAAGCGUUGUCCGGAUUUAUUGGGCGUAAAGAGCGUGUAGGCGGUUUGGUAGGUCCGCUGUGAAAACUCGAGGCUCAGCCUCGAGACGCCGGUGGAAACCAUCAGACUAGAGUCCGGAAGAGGAGAGUGGAAUUCCUGGUGUAGCGGUGAAAUGCGCAGAUAUCAGGAAGAACACCCGUGGCUAAGGCGGCUCUCUAGUACGGUACUGACGCUGAGACGCGAAAGCGUGGGGAGCGAACAGG